rnacentral:rRNA from 1 species
GAUGAACGCUGGCGGCGUGCCUAAUACAUGCAAGUCGAGCGAACGGACGAGGAGCUUGCUCCUUUGACGUUAGCGGCGGACGGGUGAGUAACACGUGGAUAACCUACCUAUAAGACUGGGAUAACUUCGGGAAACCGGAGCUAAUACCGGAUAAUAUAUUGAACCGCAUGGUUCAAUAGUGAAAGACGGUUUUGCUGUCACUUAUAGAUGGAUCCGCGCCGCAUUAGCUAGUUGGUAAGGUAACGGCUUACCAAGGCAACGAUGCGUAGCCGACCUGAGAGGGUGAUCGGCCACACUGGAACUGAGACACGGUCCAGACUCCUACGGGAGGCAGCAGUAGGGAAUCUUCCGCAAAGGGCGAAAGCCUGACGGAGCAACGCCGCGUGAGUGAUGAAGGUCUUCGGAUCGUAAAACUCUGUUAUUAGGGAAGAACAAAUGUGUAAGUAACUAUGCACGUCUUGACGGUACCUAAUCAGAAAGCCACGGCUAACUACGUG